rnacentral:rRNA from 1 species
UGAGCAACCUGCCCUUAACUCUGGGAUAAGCCUGGGAAACUGGGUCUAAUACCGGAUAUGACUCCUCAUCGCAUGGGUGGGGGGUGGAAAGCUUUUUGUGGUUUUGGAUGGACUCGCGGCCUAUCAGCUUGUUGGUGAGGUAAUGGCUCACCAAGGCGACGACGGGUAGCCGGCUGAGAGGGUGACCGGCCACACUGGGACUGAGACACGGCCCAGACCUCCGUACGGGGAGCAG